UGCAUGCGGCAGCUACCAUGCAGUCGUACGAGAAGGUUCCUUCGGGAACUGGAGAGUGGCGCACGGGUGAGUAACGCGUGGGGACCUACCUCUUAGUGGGGGAUAACGGUUGGAAACGACCGCUAAUACCGCAUACGCCCUUCGGGGGAAAGAUUUAUCGCUAAGAGAUGGACCCGCGUUGGAUUAGAUAGUUGGUGAGGUAACGGCUCACCAAGUCAGCGAUCCAUAGCUGGUUUGAGAGGAUGAUCAGCCACACUGGGACUGAGACACGGCCCAGACUCCUACGGGAGGCAGCAGUGGGGAAUAUUGGACAAUGGGCGCAAGCCUGAUCCAGCCAUGCCGCGUGAGUGAAGAAGGCCUUCGGGUUGUAAAGCUCUUUCAGAUGCGAAGAUGAUGACGGUAACAUCAGAAGAAGCCCCGGCUAAUUUCGUGCCAGCAGCCGCGGUAAUACGAAAGGGGCAAGCGUUGUUCGGAUUUACUGGGCGUAAAGGGCACGCAGGCGGUCCUGCCAGUCAGGGG
rnacentral:rRNA from 1 species